rnacentral:rRNA from 1 species
GAGUUUGAUCCUGGCUCAGGAUGAACGCUAGCGGCAGGCCUAAUACAUGCAAGUCGAGCGGCAAGAUUCUUUCGGGAAUCCUAGAGCGGCGCACGGGUGCGUAACGCGUAUGCAACCUACCUUCAGCUGGGGGAUAGCCCGGGGAAACCCGGAUUAAUACCCCAUGGUAUCACAAGAGGGCAUCUGAAUGUGAUUAAAGAUUUAUUGGCUGAAGAUGGGCAUGCGUCUGAUUAGCUAGUUGGUAGUGUAAAGGACUACCAAGGCAACGAUCAGUAGGGGGUCUGAGAGGAUGAUCCCCCACACUGGCACUGAGAUACGGGCCAGACUCCUACGGGAGGCAGCAGA